rnacentral:rRNA from 1 species
UGGGGAAUAUUGCACAAUGGGCGCAAGCCUGAUGCAGCAACGCCGCGUGAGGGACGACGGCCUUCGGGUUGUAAACCUCUUUUGGCAGGGAAGAAGCGAAAGUGACGGUACCUGCAGAAAAAGCACCGGCUAACUACGUGCCAGCAGCCGCGGUGAUACGUAAGGUGCAAGCGUUGUCCGGAAUUAUUGGGCGUAAAGAGCUCGUAGGCGGUUUGUCGCGUCUGCUGUGAAAACCCGAGGCUCAACCUCGGGCCUGCAGUGGGUACGGGCAGACUAGAGUGCGGUAGAGGAGAUUGGAAUUCCGGGUGUAGCGGUGGAAUGCGCAGAUAUCAGGAGGAACACCGAUGGCGAAGGCAGAUCUCUGGGCCGUAACUGACGCUGAGGAGCGAAAGCAUGGGGAGCGAACA